GUCCUUUUGAUGUUAAUUUAAGGUCUAACCUGCCCACUGAAAUUUUUUGAAGGGCCGCAGUAAUUUGACUGUGCAAAGGUAGCAUAAUCAUUAGUUUUUUAAUUGAAAGCUUGUAUGAAGGGUUGGACGAGGUAAAUUCUGUCUCUAUUUAAUUUUAUUUAGAAUUUAAUUUUUAAGUUAAAAAGCUUAAAUUUAUUUAAAAGACGAGAAGACCCUAUAGAUCUUUAUAUUAAAAAUAUUAAUUUUAAUUAAGAAUAUUUAAUUCUUUAAUAUUUAUAAUAUUUUAUUGGGGUAAUAAAAAGAUUAAAAUAAUUCUUUUUUUAUUUUAACAUUAAUUUAUGAUUAUAUGAUCCAAUUUUAUUGAUUAAAAGAUUAAGUUACCUUAGGGAUAACAGCGUAAUUUUUUUAGAGAGUUCAUAUCGAUAAAAAAGUUUGCGACCUCGAUGUUGGAUUAAAAAUUAUCUUAGGUGCAGAAGUUUAAGAUUUUGGUCUGUUCGACCAUUAAAUUUUU
rnacentral:rRNA from 1 species